rnacentral:rRNA from 1 species
UUAAGCGACUAAGCGUACACGGUGGAUGCCCUGGCAGUCAGAGGCGAUGAAGGACGUGCUAAUCUGCGAUAAGCGUCGGUAAGGUGAUAUGAACCGUUAUAACCGGCGAUUUCCGAAUGGGGAAACCCAGUGUGAUUCGUCACACUAUCAUUAACUGAAUCCAUAGGUUAAUGAGGCGAACCGGGGGAACUGAAACAUCUAAGUACCCCGAGGAAAAGAAAUCAACCGAGAUUCCCCCAGUAGCGGCGAGCGAACGGGGAGCAGCCCAGAGCCUGAAUCAGUGUGUGUGUUAGUGGAAGCGUCUGGAAAGGCGUGCGAUACAGGGUGACAGCCCCGUACACAAAAAUGCACAUACUGUGAGCUCGAUGAGUAGGGCGGGACACGUGGUAUCCUGUCUGAAUAUGGGGGGACCAUCCUCCAAGGCUAAAUACUCCUGACUGACCGAUAGUGAACCAGUACCGUGAGGGAAAGGCGAAAAGAACCCCGGCGAGGGGAGUGAAAAAGAACCUGAAACCGUGUACGUACAAGCAGUGGGAGCACGCUUAGGCGUGUGACUGCGUACCUUUUGUAUAAUGGGUCAGCGACUUAUAUUCUGUAGCAAGGUUAACCGAAUAGGGGAGCCGAAGGGAAACCGAGUCUUAACUGGGCGUUAAGUUGCAGGGUAUAGACCCGAAACCCGGUGAUCUAGCCAUGGGCAGGUUGAAGGUUGGGUAACACUAACUGGAGGACCGAACCGACUAAUGUUGAAAAAUUAGCGGAUGACUUGUGGCUGGGGGUGAAAGGCCAAUCAAACCGGGAGAUAGCUGGUUCUCCCCGAAAGCUAUUUAGGUAGCGCCUCGUGAAUUCAUCUCCGGGGGUAGAGCACUGUUUCGGCAAGGGGGUCAUCCCGACUUACCAACCCGAUGCAAACUGCGAAUACCGGAGAAUGUUAUCACGGGAGACACACGGCGGGUGCUAACGUCCGUCGUGAAGAGGGAAACAACCCAGACCGCCAGCUAAGGUCCCAAAGUCAUGGUUAAGUGGGAAACGAUGUGGGAAGGCCCAGACAGCCAGGAUGUUGGCUUAGAAGCAGCCAUCAUUUAAAGAAAGCGUAAUAGCUCACUGGUCGAGUCGGCCUGCGCGGAAGAUGUAACGGGGCUAAACCAUGCACCGAAGCUGCGGCAGCGACGCUUAUGCGUUGUUGGGUAGGGGAGCGUUCUGUAAGCCUGUGAAGGUGUGCUGUGAGGUAUGCUGGAGGUAUCAGAAGUGCGAAUGCUGACAUAAGUAACGAUAAAGCGGGUGAAAAGCCCGCUCGCCGGAAGACCAAGGGUUCCUGUCCAACGUUAAUCGGGGCAGGGUGAGUCGACCCCUAAGGCGAGGCCGAAAGGCGUAGUCGAUGGGAAACAGGUUAAUAUUCCUGUACUUGGUGUUACUGCGAAGGGGGGACGGAGAAGGCUAUGUUGGCCGGGCGACGGUUGUCCCGGUUUAAGCGUGUAGGCUGGUUUUCCAGGCAAAUCCGGAAAAUCAAGGCCGAGGCGUGAUGACGAGGCACUACGGUGCUGAAGCAACAAAUGCCCUGCUUCCAGGAAAAGCCUCUAAGCAUCAGGUAACAUCAAAUCGUACCCCAAACCGACACAGGUGGUCAGGUAGAGAAUACCAAGGCGCUUGAGAGAACUCGGGUGAAGGAACUAGGCAAAAUGGUGCCGUAACUUCGGGAGAAGGCACGCUGAUACGUAGGUGAAGCGACUUGCUCGUGGAGCUGAAAUCAGUCGAAGAUACCAGCUGGCUGCAACUGUUUAUUAAAAACACAGCACUGUGCAAACACGAAAGUGGACGUAUACGGUGUGACGCCUGCCCGGUGCCGGAAGGUUAAUUGAUGGGGUUAGCGCAAGCGAAGCUCUUGAUCGAAGCCCCGGUAAACGGCGGCCGUAACUAUAACGGUCCUAAGGUAGCGAAAUUCCUUGUCGGGUAAGUUCCGACCUGCACGAAUGGCGUAAUGAUGGCCAGGCUGUCUCCACCCGAGACUCAGUGAAAUUGAACUCGCUGUGAAGAUGCAGUGUACCCGCGGCAAGACGGAAAGACCCCGUGAACCUUUACUAUAGCUUGACACUGAACAUUGAGCCUUGAUGUGUAGGAUAGGUGGGAGGCUUUGAAGUGUGGACGCCAGUCUGCAUGGAGCCGACCUUGAAAUACCACCCUUUAAUGUUUGAUGUUCUAACGUGGACCCGUGAUCCGGGUUGCGGACAGUGUCUGGUGGGUAGUUUGACUGGGGCGGUCUCCUCCUAAAGAGUAACGGAGGAGCACGAAGGUUGGCUAAUCCUGGUCGGACAUCAGGAGGUUAGUGCAAUGGCAUAAGCCAGCUUGACUGCGAGCGUGACGGCGCGAGCAGGUGCGAAAGCAGGUCAUAGUGAUCCGGUGGUUCUGAAUGGAAGGGCCAUCGCUCAACGGAUAAAAGGUACUCCGGGGAUAACAGGCUGAUACCGCCCAAGAGUUCAUAUCGACGGCGGUGUUUGGCACCUCGAUGUCGGCUCAUCACAUCCUGGGGCUGAAGUAGGUCCCAAGGGUAUGGCUGUUCGCCAUUUAAAGUGGUACGCGAGCUGGGUUUAGAACGUCGUGAGACAGUUCGGUCCCUAUCUGCCGUGGGCGCUGGAGAACUGAGGGGGGCUGCUCCUAGUACGAGAGGACCGGAGUGGACGCAUCACUGGUGUUCGGGUUGUCAUGCCAAUGGCACUGCCCGGUAGCUAAAUGCGGAAGAGAUAAGUGCUGAAAGCAUCUAAGCACGAAACUUGCCCCGAGAUGAGUUCUCCCUGACCCUUUAAGGAUCCUGAAGGAACGUUGAAGACGACGACGUUGAUAGGCCGGGUGUGUAAGCGCAGCGAUGCGUUGAGCUAACCGGUACUAAUGAACCGUGAGGCUUAACCUU